rnacentral:rRNA from 1 species
AGAGUUUGAUCCUGGCUCAGGAUGAACGCUAGCGGCAGGCUUAACACAUGCAAGUCGAGGGGUAACAGGGGAGCUUGCUUCCGCUGACGACCGGCGCACGGGUGAGUAACGCGUAUGCAACCUGCCCUUUACUGGAGAAUAGCUCCGAGAAAUCGGGAUUAAUACUUCAUAAUAUCUUUUUGAGACAUCUCUUUUAGAUUAAAGCUCCGGCGGUAAAGGAUGGGCAUGCGUGCCAUUAGUUAGUUGGUGAGGUAACGGCUCACCAAGACUACGAUGGCUAGGGGGUCUUAAAGGAUGAUCCCCCACACUGGUACUGAGACACGGACCAGACUCCUACGGGAGGCAGCAGUGAGGAAUAUUGGGCAAUGGACGAAAGUCUGACCCAGCCAUGCCGCGUGCAGGAUGACUGCCCUAUGGGUUGUAAACUGCUUUUGUAUAGGAAGAAGAAAGCUUACGUGUAAGCUACUGACGGUACUAUACGAAUAAGCAUCGGCUAACUCCGUGCCAGCAGCCGCGGUAAUACGGAGGAUGCAGGCGUUAUCCGGAUUUAUUAGGUUUAAAGGGUGCGUAGGCGGGAUAAUAAGUCAGUGGUGAAAUCUUGCAGCUUAACUGUAAAAUUGUCAUUGAUACUGUUGUUCUUGAGUAUAGUUGAGGUGGGCGGAAUGUGUCAUGUAGCGGUGAAAUGCAUAGAUAUGACACAGAACACCGAUUGCGAAGGCAGCUCACUAAACUGUUACUGACGCUGAGGCACGAAAGCGUGGGGAGCGAACAGGAUUAGAUACCCUGGUAGUCCACGCCGUAAACUAUGAUUACUCGUUGUGUGCAAUACAUCGUACGCGACUGAGCGAAAGCAUUAAGUAAUCCACCUGGGGAGUACGUCGGCAACGAUGAAACUCAAAGGAAUUGACGGGGGCCCGCACAAGCGGAGGAACAUGUGGUUUAAUUCGAUGAUACGCGAGGAACCUUACCUGGGCUUAAAUGCAGAACGACCGACGCCGAAAGGUGUCUUCCCUUCGGGGCGAUUUGCGAGGUGCUGCAUGGUUGUCGUCAGCUCGUGCCGUGAGGUGUCGGGUUAAGUCCCAUAACGAGCGCAACCCUCAUUGUUAGUUGCCAGCGGGUAAUGCCGGGGACUCUAACAAAACUGCCGGUGUAAACCGUGAGGAAGGUGGGGAUGACGUCAAAUCAGCACGGCCCUUAUGUCCAGGGCUACACACGUGUUACAAUGGCUAGUACAAAGGGCAGCUAUCUGGCAACAGAAUGCUAAUCUCGAAAACUAGUCUCAGUUCGGGUCGAAGUCUGCAACUCGACUUCGUGAAGUUGGAUUCGCUAGUAAUCGCGCAUCAGCAACGGCGCGGUGAAUACGUUCCCGGGCCUUGUACACACCGCCCGUCAAGCCAUGGAAGCUUGGGGUACCUGAAGUCUGUAACCGUAAGGAGCGGCCUAGGGUAAAACAAGUGACUGGGGCUAAGUCGAAACAAGGUA